rnacentral:rRNA from 1 species
UGGUUGCUCAAGAAAAGAAUUUUAGUUCUGUUUUAAAAAUUUUAAGCACUUAAAGCAUAUUUUUAAGAAUUAUUCAAUUAGGGUACAGCCUAAUUGAAAUAGGAUACAACCUAAAUUUUAGGAUAAUGAUUAAAUUUAAAAAAGUUAAAGGCUAAGUUGGCCUAAAAGCAGCCAUCUUUAAAAAAGCGUCAAAGCUUAACCUUAUAUCUUCUUUUAUUUUAUUAACUUUUCAAAAUCCAACAUCCUUACUGAGCUAUUCUAUAUCAUUAUAGAAGUAUUAAUGUUAGGACUAGUAAUAUAGAAUUAUUUCUCUUCCAUGUAAGUAAAAAUCAGUUCGAAUACUUCACUGAUAACUAACCAGAUUUGAAUAUAAAGUAAUUUUGGAAUCUCCCAUGAGAAUACUACUUUUACUUCUGUUAAUCUUACACAAGAACAUGCAAGAAAGAUUUAAAGACUAAGAAGGAACUCGGCAAACACUAGUCUCGCCUGUUUACCAAAAACAUCGCCUUUUGAAAAUUAUAAAAGGUAACGCCUGCCCAGUGACAUCUGUUUAACGGCCGCGGUAUUCUGACCGUGCGAAGGUAGCGUAAUCACUUGUCUUUUAAAUAAAGACUAGUAUGAAUGGCAUCACGAAGACUUAACUGUCUCCUUAGUCCUAUCAAUGAAACUGAUCUUCCCGUGCAAAAGCGGGAAUAAAAUCAUAAGACGAGAAGACCCUAUGGAGCUUAAAACUAAAACCUAGCUAUCCUAUCUAUUAAAAUUAACUAAUACUAUUUAUGUAUAGACUUAAUUAAAGUUUUCAGUUGGGGUGACUGUGGAGAAAAACUAAUCCUCCAUGUAGAAUUAAGCUUUGAAUCAUCAUUCUUAGCAUUAGCAAGUCUAACUUUACUUGAUCCAAUAAUUUUGAUCAACGGACCAAGUUACCCUAGGGAUAACAGCGCAAUCCAUUUCAAGAGUCCAUAUCGACAAAUGGGUUUACGACCUCGAUGUUGGAUUAGGACACCCUAGUGGUGCAGCCGCUACUAACGGUUCGUUUGUUCAACGAUUUAAGUCCU